rnacentral:lncRNA from 1 species
ACCGGCGGGCCUAGAUCGAGCUUGGUUCGGGUCGGGUUAGCCGGGCCCAUUUUAAAAAAAUAACCGGCCCGGGACCCGAAACCCUAAAGCCCUAGGGCUUAUCGGGCCGGGUCAAACUAGGCCGGGUUAGUUACAAGGGCCGGGUCGGCUCGGCCUACUUGACACCUUUAGAUCUCACCAUGCAUGUCUCAGAAUCAGGUAGGCCUUGAGCAAAAUUAGGACUACACCGGAGACUCGUACCGAAAUCAGCAUCAGAAAGAUGUUGAAGAGUAGGGUGAGUACAAAUCACUAUUACUCAACAGAUAUCAUCGGUUGAUCUUAUGCAGUAUUAUCUCAAACAAUGAAUAUAACACUAAAAAUUAAAUUUGCACACAGAAAAGUCCAAGAAGUUCCAUAAUAUCAACAUAUCAUGAUAAAUACAUAGAACACGAAUAUACAAUGCAAUAUGAUGCAUUCUGAUGCAAUAUAGUGCAAUGGACACUGAAUCUACUGAUAUACACCUCCUCCACAGGGGCGUGCUGUGAGGUAGGACUUGUUGGGGACUAAGGAGGUCCAUAAACUCGUUCAAAACAAUUUUUCAUUAGGUACUUAAUGCAAAUUUUGUUCACGAUGUCAUGAAUAGUAAAUCCACUCAAAAUAAUUUUCCUCCGAUAUGUAUUCAUAAAUACGUAUGAUUCACCCAAAAUAAUUUUCCUCAAGCAUGCUAUUCCUUCCAAAUAUUAUAUUCAAAAUACCAAGUUUAUAAGUUCAUGAAAUGAGUAUGAGUGAGUAUGUAUGUUAACAAUAUUAAAAGAAAUUCAUGUUAAAAUUGGUCUUGGACCUAACUCACCCCAAAAGCUAGCUCAUGAGGAGGAGGAUUGCCCAAGCCUUAUAAGGAGACCAAGGACCCUUUCCUCUUCCGAUGUGGGAUACUUAACACUCUCCCGCACGCCCAGCCUAACUGUGGCAUGGACAACAUACACAGGUUAACUGGAGCAUGGACAACAUAUAUAUGGGAGCCCACCAUCGGUGAACAAAUAUUUGGAAUGGGCCUGGCUUUGAUACCAUGUUAAAAUUGAUUUUGGGCCUAACUCACACCCCAAAAGCUAGCUCAUGAGGGGAGGAUUACCCAAGAAAAUAUAAGGAGUUCAAGGACCCUUUAACCCAACGAUGUGGGACUCCAACAGAAUGACACAAACAUAUCAAUAAUAAUGCAAGGCUCAAAUCAAAAGCACAUGCCACAACCGUUGUGCCCAAGUGUACACGCAAGUGUACAUGGUCCAACAAGUAGUGAAAUGGCCUUAUAAAAGCCAAGUAUCAAUUCCACAAGGACUUGUGUUAAAUCUAUCUAAUUCUAGUGCAACUAUCACAAUUAAGCAAGUGCUAAAGUAACCGAAAGAAUUUGAGAAUUAUCUCUAAAAGUAAAGUAAGCAAUACUGUAAAUUAAAGGUUCUUGAACAACAAUGAGGAGAAAUCUAGGGUUAAGGCACUACGGACAAUUAUACUUCAUUGUAUAACUUUAUUUGGUUAGGUUAAUUAUCUUUCUUAUUGGUCCUCGGGGUUGAGACCAUGAUUAUGGCCUUCUAAACCUCUAAUCAGCUAUCUAACUUAGCCCCACAACUACAUAAUUGAGCGGGAAUGCAAGAACUAAGUUAAAUGCAUUUAUAUUCUUCCGUUGUAUGAACCAAAUAGGGUGUAUUAGGUAUAUUACUAUCCUAAACUAAAAUUAUAGCUUCAUUAAAUUAAAGAUUAAAAUCCGAUUCCAUUUAUCCCACGUUCUACCGUAUCAUUCAUCCUUUCGGGUUCAUAAUAUAGUUAUGCAUGUAUUAUAAGGGCCCCAAAUCCUUAAAAUAGAGAUAAAAAGGAUAACCAAAUUACUAACAAUUAUAAAUAACCAAAACCAAUUAUAUUAAUAACAAGAGUACUCAUGUUUUUUGCCUUAACCCCAAAAAAAGGGUGUUUAGCCGUUAAUGGACAUACACAUAAUCACAAUUGAUGAAUCUAUGUUAUAAUCUAUAAACAAACUUAAUUAAAGCCAUUAAAACCCUAAUUGAAGCCUUAUCCAGCAUAUAUUAAAGCCGCGAGGUUUUCCAAGGUUGUUAUAAUUGAGUUUAAGUGUCAUAUUUCUAGGAGGACAAAGCUACCUGAUUAUAACAUAGGGGCACGCUACGCCCUUAUAGCGUGGCCUAGGGUCCGUGGCACACCAAUAUCGUAGAGGCACACUAUUUUAUGCGAUAUUUGGUUCCAAAAAAAGGCGUUCCAUGGUAUUAUAACACCAUCUAGGGAAUGUGGUAUGCCAGUGACUCCAAAACAUCCAACUUUGCGCAAUGUUUGUCACAUGCAUUUGUCCUUCUAAUCCAAGCUUUGUGCAGUUGUUUAUUCAUGAUUUAUAGAUUGUGUAACAUACUUUAUCAUCUUUAUUAACUAAAAAAUCAUCCUAUAACAUAAAACAACAUAAAUUAGCAAUCCAACACGAUGAACUAGAAAGGGACAUAGCUUAAGCUAAGAGUACUACUUUUCGCAUUUGAUCUUUAACUUAGGGUUUUGACUCCAAAAUCACUAUAAAAGCAUCUUAAACACUAAAAAUAUAUAAAAUUCUUAGAUACUCAUUUAUACAAAGAUUACAUCAUUACGUAUACGAUAAGUCCUCAAAACUAAGCUAAAUAAACCCGGAUAACAACACUGAAGUGCAUAAAUCCACCUCAGAUCAUCACCCCCAAUUAAAGCUUUGUUCAUCCUCGAACAACUCUUUACUCUAAGCAUCAUAAUCAGAGAAGACUCCACACUUCCAUAACAACCAAUAUCCUCAAGCUAGUACUAUAAUUAUUGCACAGGAUGUGAGUUUUUUUUUACACUACGUAUGUUAUACACAAUUGAAAGCUCAAGAACACUACUCCAAAACAUCCUAACCUCAAGAAAUGACUCACAAUGUUAGUAAACUCAUGAAUAUUAUUUAAUCAAAGUUAUCUGUAACGCCCCGUAAAAGUCGUGCAUGUACUAACUCUUAGUGGUGUGGUCUUAGACUUGAAAACAUUACAUUUUUUUUCUAAGUAUCAACAGACUUGGACUCAUUUUUUGCUCGUAAUCUUUGGGAAUUUUAUUUUCAACCUUCCCGACCUUCGUUUUUAGAUUUUUUUAUUGCGUUGCGAUAGGGCAAGGUUGUAGUACGUCUCAGGUGAGUUUCAAGAUUUUUAGACAAGCAUAAGGGCAUGUUUGGGGUGCUAUUGUAGUGAGGUCCCGCGAUCUGCAAGCGUUGCCUGGCCUGGAAGAGAGACCGCAAAAGGGCAGGCAACGCCUAGCCUAUAGCGGUGCUUUUGGGCAGGCACCGCCUGGUGGAUCGCCCCAGGCCAAAGUUUUCAGCUCUUUCGGGAAAUUAAUGGUGUUUUUUAAUUGUCCGUUCCCCUAUCAUCUUAAACACGAGAUUUAAUCCAUAGAAAGAAAAAAUACACCCAUAUUCAUCAUAUUUCUCCAAGAACUCUCUUAAGGGUUUCAAAAUAAAAACCCUAAUAACUCAAGAUUCCACUGUGGAUUUUCAAAAUUGACAAAAGAUUUGAAAUCCCCACAACGUAGGCUUCAAGAAGCACCUAUUAUUUUCGAAAAUAGAGGUACGUGGGGUUGUCCUUAAUUUCAUGGGCAUUUUUUCAAAAAGAAAUUUACGCAAGAAUUUAAAUUUAUACAAAUAUAUAUUUUGGGUAUUUUGGUAAUUGUCCAUUCCCCUAUCAUCUUAAACACGGGAUUUAAUCCCUAGAAAGCCAAAAUACACCCACAUUCAUCAUAUUUCUCCAACAACUCUCUCAAGGGUUUCAAAAUAAAAAUUCUAAUAACUCAAGAUUCCGCCGUGGGUUUUCAAAAUUGACGGAAGAUUUGGAAUCCUGCAACGUAGGCUUCAAGAAGAAGCUAUUAUUUUCGCAUAUAGAGGUACGCGGGGUUGUCCUAAAUUUCGUAGGCAUGUUUUCAAAAGGGAAUUUAUGCAAGACUUUAAAUUUAUACAAAUAUAUAUAUGUUUUACAAAUGGGGGUUUUCAAUUGAUACAAAUAACAUGUUUUGAUUUAUGAUUUUGAAAGAAAUGUUGAGAUAUCAUGGGGUUGUUUAUUUGAAUAUAUUUUAAUGGUUAAAUUAUGAACACGUGACCUAAAAUUUCAAAAGGGUGUGAUGUACAUGAGUUGUGAAUUUCCUAAAUUCCCCAUGAUAAUGUUUAUACCCCAUAUCAUAUUUGUGUUAAACCAUUGAGAACAUGAGUUUUGCAAUCGAUAUGACUUUACUUAUAAAUUAUUAAACAUUCUUGAAUGAUUGCAUGUUGAGAACCAUGGUGUAUGUGUUUUAAUGGUGUGAAAGUCAUACAUAUGUGCAUGUUGUAAAUGGUAUAAGAAGUUGAUGUCAUAUUGAUGACUUGCAAGUCGAGUAUGACGAUACCCUGUAGAGAAUAACAUGUGAUUGAUUUAAAUGAGUUUUCAUGCAUUAAUUUUAUGAGCUAGGUAGUGACCCGAAGAAAGAACGAGUCACUACGCUGGAAGCCAUGUUUGCCGACUCGGGAACUUGGUACCCUGCUGUGUGAUCUUGUGUACCUGACAUUAUGUCAUCCUAAAUUAGGACUAUGACUAGGAGCCCUGCUUUGUGAUCUUGUGCACUACCAUACUUGAUUGGGUUGAGACACCCUGCUGUGUGAUCUUGUGUGUCUUUCCCUCACUUAUACUCUAAUCUCGGUGGUAACCUAGAUUUGACAGUUGGUGAAAAUGUGAAAUUAUAGGGUGUACCACCUAGCUCAGAUGUGUUGCAUUGUUGUUGAAAAAUCAUUAUACUAUGCCCAUGUAUUUUUGAAAUCAUUUUGCAAUAAUGUGUCUUAUUACAGCUCUCAUGUAUUUUAUAUAAAAUUCUCUACUUUGUUUUGGAUUUCUCUGCAUUCCAGUACUUUGUAUUGACCACCUUCCCUCUCAGUUUUGGAGGUACAGUCUAGGGGUCCAAAAAAUCAGUAGAUUCUUCAGAUAGAUUUGCAGAGUCGAGUGGUGAGCCUUCUAUAUUCUGGAAGGCCUGAUGUCUGGAAGUUUAUUUAUCUAUUUAAUAGUUUUGGGUCUACUGGGGACCUUGUCCCUUCUUUCAGACAUUUAUUUGUUUUAGUUAUGUAGUAGAGAUUUCGCAGACGGUUUUCAGAUGUCGAUAGAUGUUGUGGGAUGUUAUUUCCCAUUAUUGAUUUCAUUAGAUUUCAUGACCAUGUUUCCUUAACAUUGUGUAUCUUCUGCAUUUUAUUUUAUCAUAUGAAUUAUAUGUAUGAUUACCAGAUAGAUAGGGGUGUUUUGGGCCUUUGUGGUUUGGAAUGCUCAUCACGGCCAGGGCCCCAGUUUGGGUCGUGACAAACUUGGUAUCAGAGCACGGUUCAUGGUCCCAGGGUAUCUGCAAAAUCAUAUCAGGUAGAGUCUUAUUUAUGGGUGUAUAGCGAACCACACUUAUAAGCAGGAGACUACUAGGUAUUUAGGAAAUAUUUCCCUUCUUUGUGAUUUAGUUUGUGCUUCAGCGUUAAGUCUGUUCCUAAUCAGUGAUCUUUUGUCUUACAAAAACAACAGUCACGCCUCCUCAUCACAAUUCUAAUCAGAGUGCCCAAAAUGAUAAAGUCCGUCCCACUCAUGGGAUGAGGACACAUAAUAGAGCUCCCACUCUAGACCCUGUCCCUACUCCGGGAGUCCCAACCAGUCCACCUCGGGCUCCAUGGACCAAUGUCAACCGUCC